ensembl:lncRNA
CUCCCAUAAGUGGCAGAGCCAGGAAGGAGCCCAGGCUGUUUUCACCGUCUUCUGCAGGGACCUGCUGAGGGUUGGAUGCUGUGCCAGCAUGUGGGUCACCUGCUCACGAAACCCGGUGAUUGUGUGGGUCACCGCGGAGACACGAGAGAGCUGCACACCCGGCUGAAGAGCUGACAGGGACCCCGUGUGCCCUCCCUGCUCCUCCACGACUCCUCUCCUACCCUCAGGAAAAUCUCUUUGUGCCCUCAUCCAGGGCACUGAGGGCAAGGAACUGGCACUGCCAGUGGAGCGGGAAGUGAAAAGCUAUGCCCUGGCCGAUCAGUCCUCAAAGGAUCCCAGCUCUCAGAAUCUGAGGAAGAAGCUGCCUUCAGGAAAUCAAUCCUGAAUAUUCAUUGGAAGGACCGAUGCUGAAGCUGAAGCUCCAAUACUUUGGCGACCUGAUGUGAAGAGCUGACUCACUGGGAAAGAUCCUGAUGCUGGGAAAGAUUGAGGGCAGGAGGAGAAGGGGACAACAGGGGAUGAGAUGGUUGGAUGGCAUCACUGACUCAAUGGACAUGAGUCUGAGCAAACUCUGGGAGAUAGUGAAGGACAGGGAAACCUAGUGUGUUGCAAACCAUGGGUUGCAAAGAGUCAGACACAACGGAGCGACCGAACAACAGCAGUGUUUUUUGUAUAAUACAAUGUUGACAUGUUGGAAGGCCUCCCUUCAGGAAAUCACAAGCGGCAGUUUGAUCUUGAGCCGCCAGGUGGCACUAGUGCCCCGGCGCUGCCAGUAGGCAGGGCGCAAGGAUGCUUUGAGUCAGGCUUCGGUUCCCGGUCGGCUGCAGGCAGUGCCCUGGAAACCUGGAGCCUUUCCCUUUCACUCUCAGACCGAGCACCGGGGCUUAGAACAGAGAAAGUGGGAGACGUGGUGAGUUGAUGGCUGGGGCAGCAGCACAAGUGUACAAAAUUAAGUCCUGGGCAAAAUGAGCUCAUUUUGUGUGAGAGAUCCAUGAUCUGGGUGAGGAAUCAGGGGCAAGGUCUGGUUGUGGAAGAAACCUACGCUAGGGGUUAGGGUAGGGAAACCUGGAGGCGCACGUCUCAGAUCGGGCUGGGUGAGAAUUAUUUUGGGCUAAGAGUGGGGCAGGUUACCUUUGGGAAUGGGGGACCAUUAAGCCUGUGUUUCAGAUCCGAGCUCUUGAUACAAAUGAGAAAUUUCUGAGCAUCAGAGUGGGGGAACUUCUGCCCUACCCCUUGAGACAGACUCUGAGAGGUGAAGGCAGAUUUCCUGGGCAGGGGCUUUUCUGGGGCUGGGGUUCAUCCAGGGAGAAAUGCCCUGCUCUGGAGAGAGUAUUUCGAUCCGUGGAUGUAAGACUGCUUUGGAGGACGACGAGAAGAGCACAUGUCAGCAGCAAAUCCAGCUGCCACAAGCAUGUGACGGGCACCUUUCCCAGCCUCACUUCUUCACCUCUCUGAGCUGGCUUUUUUCUCUGCAGAGUGGGGAUCGCCGCCUCUCAGGCAUGAUGCCACCAGACAAUGGCCUGAAGGAGAUAGCCAGAAAAUUGAUUAGCAUCAUUGGAACUCCCUUGGCAGCAACUUUGCAAAUUCUCUAAAGAUUCUGUGGAAGAACUGCCUUCCAGAAAUUAAAAAGACCAGAGCCCCAGUUGGAACCACCCAGCCCCCGGGCAGCCCCCGGGAGAUCUUCAGAACGUAAAGGUGGGGUCUUUCAUUGCAGGAGCUGAACUGAAGAAGGUGUUCCCUGGAGAACAGAGAAACUAAAGGACUGAACUUCCCUGGUGGCUUAGCUGGUAAAGAAUCUGCCUACAAUGCAGGAGACCCCAGUUCAGUUCCUGGGUUGAGAAGAUCCCCUGGAGAAGAGAAAAGGCUACCCACUCCAGUAUUCUGGCCUGGAGAAUUCAACGGACUGUAUAGUCCAAGGGGUCCCAGAGUCAGACAUGACUGAGCGACUUUCACUUUCACUUUUCAAAGGACUGAGCAGCUAAGCACACACUCCAAUGUAUUUAGGACUGCUAAUGUAUAUGCUUGGUUCUAUUCUGUGAUGUUCUCUAUUAGAAAGCAAAUGUUUUUUUAGAAAUUAUCACUGAUAUUUAUGUUCACUGAUCUUCAGAGUGCUAGUGUAAAGGAUAGUUCAUUAUUGCUUACUUCUUAGUUUUCACGGGAAAUCAAGACUUUCAGAGCUGAGGACUCUAAUAUGAACAUGUAAUUAAAGUUAAUAGAAAUAAUAAAGGAAACGUGUCAGCAUACAGCAGAAAGAUAGGAUAUAUGUCUUCAGUAAAAAGGUAUGAGGAAUGGAAUUUCAUUUUAUUAGAGAAAAGAAAGUAAGUGUGCUUUAGAGCUGCUUAUUUCUGGAUGGAAAAAAUAAAGUGAUGGAUACAGAAAGUCAUGGAAGGUUUGUGGGAAGUGGACCCUGAGAAAAGACUUCUAUGCAUGGUCAGGAAUGCUAAAUUUAGAAUGAAUUUAAAAGUAAGCUGGUGGAAAAAUUGAAUUUGGCUUUUUUCUCUGUUAAGAGGACAAAUUUUCUUAAAAUAUUAAACUGCCUUUGAUAGCAGGUUUUAAGUUCUUUACGUUUUAAGUAAUCUAUUCUAUAUUUGUCUUUGAAAUAUUUUAUUGUCACUUAGGCUAAGUAAAUAACUAUUAUUUCAUGGUCACCUAUGAGCCUAUCUGAGUGUUCUAAAUCCUUUUGAUAUUUUUUUUUUAUAAAACUUCCUAGAUAAAUGAAUAUAAUUCUAAUGAAGUCCCUUUGACCUCUAGGUAUUUUUGGGAUGCUUCAAUGGGCUCCUGAAAC